AGAGUUUGAUCAUGGCUCAGGAUGAACGCUGGCGGUAUGCCUAACACAUGCAAGUCGAACGAUGUCUUCGGACAUAGUGGCGGACGGGUGAGUAACGCGUGAGAAUCUGCCUCUAGGAUGGGGAUAACGGUUGGAAACGACCGCUAACACCCAAUAUGCCGUAAGGUGAAAAAUUUAUUGCCUGGAGAGGAGCUCGCGUCUGAUUAGCUAGUUGGUGGGGUAAGAGCUCACCAAGGCUUCGAUCAGUAGCUGGUCUGAGAGGAUGAGCAGCCACACUGGGACUGAGACACGGCCCAGACUCCUACGGGAGGCAGCAGUGGGGAAUUUUCCGCAAUGGGCGAAAGCCUGACGGAGCAAUACCGCGUGAGGGAGGAAUGCCUUUGGGUUGUAAACCUCUUUUCUCAGGGAAGAAGAUCUGACGGUACCUGAGGAAUAAGUAUCGGCUAACUCCGUGCCAGCAGCCGCGGUAAUACGGAGGAUGCAAGCGUUAUCCGGAAUCAUUGGGCGUAAAACGUCCGCAGGUGGUUUCCAAAGUCUGCUGUUAAAGACUGGAGCUCAACUCCGGAACGGCGGUGGAAACUUGGAAACUAGAGUUCGGUAGGGGUAGCAGGAAUUCCCAGUGUAGCGGUGAAAUGCGUAGAUAUUGGGAAGAACAUCGGUGGCGAANGCGUGCUACUGGACCGUAACUGACACUCAGGGACGAAAGCUAGGGGAGCGAAAGGGAUUAGAUACCCCUGUAGUCCUAGCUGUAAACGAUGGAAACUAGGUGUGGCUUGUAUCGACCCGAGCCG
rnacentral:rRNA from 1 species